rnacentral:rRNA from 1 species
AACGCUGGCGGCGUGCUUAAUACAUGCAAGUCGAACGAAGCACAGAUGGCAGAUCCCUUCGGGGUGACGCCGCCUGCGACUUAGUGGCGGACGGGUGAGUAACGCGUGGGCAAUCUGCCCUGCACAGGGGGACAACAGUUGGAAACGACUGCUAAUACCGCAUAAGCGCACAAGACCGCAUGGUCAGGUGUGAAAAGGAGCGAUCCGGUGCAGGAUGAGCCCGCGUCCGAUUAGCCAGUUGGCGGGGUAACGGCCCACCAAAGCUACGAUCGGUAGCCGACUUGAGAGAGUGAUCGGCCACAUUGGGACUGAGACACGGCCCAGACUCCUACGGGAGGCAGCAGUAGGGAAUAUUGCACAAUGGGGGAAACCCUGAUGCAGCGACGCCGCGUGGGUGAUGAAGCAUUUCGGUGCGUAAAGCCCUAUCAGCAGGGAAGAUGAUGACGGUACCUGCAUAAGAAGCCCCGGCUAACUACGUGCC